GCCGAAGUGGUGAAAUGGUAGACACGCUAGGUUCAGGGUCUAGUGGGGGCAACCCCGUGCGGGUUCGAGUCCCGCCUUCGGCACCA
rnacentral:tRNA from 1 species